UGGCUUGCUGCUUAGCAAUUCCUAACCACCAUCUUCCCUUCUCAACCUCUUUUUUCAUGCUAAGAGGCAUAAAUGAGAUGAUGAUGAUAAAAGUUUGAGCUCUUUUCAUGGAAUUCUUGUGAUACAGAUAUGUGCUGCAUGUUCAUUAUCUUGUUGGUCUUCACCAUGAUAACUGGGGGGUAAGAAUUAUCAGCAGUUCACAGGUUAGGGACUUGAGACUGAGAGUUUGACUUUCCUGUUCCAGGUGGCAAAGCCUAUGGGGUAUUCACCUACCUGCUGCAUGAAGGCAACAUGGAGGGACUGUGGUGGAUUAUCUGCAAAGAUGGCCAAAAUUCUCUCAUCUCUACAGGUAUAUACAAGAAAGCCUGAAUUUUGUAAACGUUCUGCUUAGAAUGAGGAAGAAAGAUGAAGAAUGAGGAGGACGAAGGGAGGAACGAGAGGGAGG
rnacentral:lncRNA from 1 species